GAUGAACGCUGGCGGCGUGCUUAACACAUGCAAGUCGAGCGAGUGAGUUCUUCGGAACGAUCUAGCGGCGGACGGGUGAGUAACACGUGGGCAACCUGCCUCAUAGAGGGGAAUAGCCUCCCGAAAGGGAGAUUAAUACCGCAUAAAAUUAUCGAGUGGCAUCACACGAUAAUCAAAGGAGUAAUCCGCUAUGAGAUGGGCCCGCGGCGCAUUAGCUAGUUGGUGAGGUAACGGCUCACCAAGGCGACGAUGCGUAGCCGACCUGAGAGGGUGAUCGGCCACAUAGGGACUGAGACACGGCCCAGACGCCUACGGGAGGCAGCAGUGGGGAAUAUUGCACAAUGGGGGAAACCCUGAUGCAGCAACGCCGCGUGAGUGAUGAAGGUCUUCGGAUUGUAAAGCUCUGUCUUUGGGGACGAUAAUGACGGUACCCAAGGAGGAAGCCACGGCUAACUACGUGCCAGCCGCCGCCGUAA
rnacentral:rRNA from 1 species